rnacentral:rRNA from 1 species
UACGUAGGGGGCAAGCGUUGUCCGGAAUUAUUGGGCGUAAAGAGCGCGUAGGCGGUCCGAUAAGUCGGCUGUGAAAGUCCAGGGCUCAACCCUGGAAAGCCGGCCGAUACUGUCGGACUAGAGUCCGGAAGAGGCGAGUGGAAUUCCCGGUGUAGCGGUGAAAUGCGCAGAUAUCGGGAGGAACACCUAUGGCGAAGGCAGCUCGCUGGGACGUUACUGACGCUGAGACGCGAAAGCGUGGGGAGCAAACAGG